rfam:Schistocephalus solidus strain NST_G2 genome assembly, scaffold: SSLN_scaffold0012337
GGCCUCAUAGCUCAGUUGGAUAGAGCGUUGGCUGUACUAUAGCCUUCCCCUUGCUGGCGUGGGUUGGAAUCCCACCGAGGACG